rnacentral:rRNA from 1 species
UACGUAGGGUCCGAGCGUUGUCCGGAAUUAUUGGGCGUAAAGAGCUCGUAGGCGGUUUGUCGCGUCUGCUGUGAAAUCCCGAGGCUCAACCUCGGGUCUGCAGUGGGUACGGGCAGACUGGAGUGCGGUAGGGGAGAAUGGAAUUCCUGGUGUAGCGGUGGAAUGCGCAGAUAUCAGGAGGAACACCGAUGGCGAAGGCAGCUCGCUGGGACGGUACUGACGCUAAGGCGCGAAAGCGUGGGGAGCGAACAGG